CCUACGGGUGGCAGCAGUGAGGAAUAUUGGUCAAUGGGCGCUAGCCUGAACCAGCCAAGUAGCGUGAAGGAUGACUGCCCUAUGGGUUGUAAAUUUCUUUUAUAUGGGAAUAAAGUGCAGUAUGUAUACCUCUUUGUAUGUACUUUAUGAAUAAGGAUCGGCUAACUCCGUGCCAGCAGCCGCGGUAAUACGGAGGAUCCGAGCGUUAUCCGGAUUUAUUGGGUUUAAAGGGAGCGUAGAUGGGUUGUUAAGUCAGUUGUGAAAGUUUGCGGCUCAACCGUAAAAUUGCAAUUGAUACUGGCAGCCUUGAGUACAGUAGAGGUAGGCGGAAUUCGUGGUGUAGCGGUGAAAUGCUUAGAUAUCACGAAGAACUCCGAUUGCGAAGGCAGCCUACUAAACUGUCACUGACGCUGAUGCUCGAAAGUGUGGGUAUCAAACAGGAUUAGAUACCCCUGUAGUC
rnacentral:rRNA from 1 species